rnacentral:piRNA from 4 species
GUAAUGGUUAGCACUCUGGACUCUGAAUC